GACGAACGCUGGCGGCGUGCCUAAUACAUGCAAGUUGAGCGCUGAAGGUUGGUACUUGUACCAACUGGAUGAGCAGCGAACGGGUGAGUAACGCGUGGGGAAUCUGCCUUUGAGCGGGGGACAACAUUUGGAAACGAAUGCUAAUACCGCAUAAAAACUUUAAACACAAGUUUUAAGUUUGAAAGAUGCAAUUGCAUCACUCAAAGAUGAUCCCGCGUUGUAUUAGCUAGUUGGUGGGGUAAAGGCUCACCAAGGCGAUGAUACAUAGCCGACCUGAGAGGGUGAUCGGCCACAUUGGGACUGAGACACGGCCCAAACUCCUACGGGAGGCAGCAGUAGGGAAUCUUCGGCAAUGGACGAAAGUCUGAUCGAGCAACGCCGCGUGAGUGAAGAAGGUUUUCGGAUCGUAAAACUCUGUUGGUAGAGAAGAACGUUGGUGAGAGUGGAAAGCUCAUCAAGUGACGGUAACUACCCAGAAAGGGACGGCUAACUACGUG
rnacentral:rRNA from 1 species